rnacentral:misc_RNA from 1 species
ACUGAUGAAAAUCUGCUGACUCAGAUCAAGGAUGGAUUCGCCGAGGGGAAAGAUUUGGUUGUGACUGUGAUGUCUUCCAUGGGAGAGGAGCAGAUUUGUGCUCUGAAGGACAUUGGCCCGAAGUAAAUGUCCCUCCCACUGUGUGGGGUUUGUCCAUUGUUGACUGCUGAUAAUUGUAGUUUAGCAGUGCGAUUAAUGUGGGUUUGAGAACAUGGGCUGUUUCAGGAAA